rnacentral:lncRNA from 1 species
UGAAGUUUGUGAAGCCACUCAACUUGUACCAGGACUUGCUAAAGCUGUGUGCUGUGGAUCGAGGGCGAUUUCUUGGUUUGGAGGUUUCGUGAUAGAUAUGUUGGCCUCGCGGUUUCGGAUUUCGACAAUAAAGUUGCUUCACCAUUAAGCGUUUUAGUUAGGAAGAAAACAAUAUCGGUCUGAUGGCUCUUGAUUUCGAACAUCUGAUAUCAAAACUGUCUCUGUCUGCCUUUAUUGUUGGAUACCCAUAUGAAAACAUGCAAAAGAACAGCAAAAAUGCAAGUGUCUAUAUCAUAUUGUAA